UACGUAGGGAGCAAGCGUUGUCCGGAAUCAUUGGGCGUAAAGCGCGCGUUGGUGGCCCCGUAAGUCCGCUGUGAAAGUCAAAGGCUCAACCUUUGAAAGCCGGUGGAUACUGUGGGACUAGAGUACGGAAGAGGCGAGUGGAAUUCCUGGUGUAGCGGUGGAAUGCGCAGAUAUCAGGAGGAACACCAAUAGCGAAGGCAGCUCGCUGGGACGUUACUGACACUGAGGCGCGAAAGCGUGGGGAGCGAACAGG
rnacentral:rRNA from 1 species